rnacentral:rRNA from 1 species
GCUUACGGCCACACCACCCUGAACACGCCCGAUCUCGGAAGCUAAGCAGGGCUGGGCCUGGUUAGUACUUGGAUGGGAGACCGCCUGGGAAUACCAGGUGCUGUAAGUU